rnacentral:rRNA from 1 species
AGCGGACGCUGGCGGCAGGCCUAACACAUGCAAGUCGAACGGCAGCACAGUAAGAGCUUGCUCUUACGGGUGGCGAGUGGCGGACGGGUGAGGUAAACAUCGGAAUCUACUUGUUCGUGGGGGAUAAAGUAGGGCAACUUAUGCUAAUACCGCAUACCACCUUCGGGUGAAAGCAGAGGAUCUUCGGACCUUGCGCGAUUGAAUGAGCCGAUGUCGGAUUAGCUAGUUGGCGGGGUAAAGGCCCACCAAGGCGACGCUCCGUAGCUGGUCUGAGAGGAUGAUCAGCCACACUGGGACUGAGACACGGUCCAGACUCCUACGGGAGGCAGCAGUGGCGAAGAGUGGACAAUGGGGGCAAGCCUGAUCCAGCCAUACCGCGUGGGUGCAGAAGGCCUUCGGGUUGUAAAGCCCUUUUGUUGUGAAAGAAAAGCAGCAGGAUAAUACCCCGCUUUUCUGACGGUACCCACAGAAUAAGCACCGGCUAACUUCGUG